rnacentral:rRNA from 1 species
AUUGAACGCUGGCGGCAUGCUGUACACAUGCAAGUCGAACGGUAACAGGCCGCAAGGUGCUGACGAGUGGCGAACGGGUGAGUAAUGCAUCGGAACGUGCCCAGUCGUGGGGGAUAACGCAGCGAAAGCUGCGCUAAUACCGCAUACGAUCUAUGGAUGAAAGCGGGGGACCGUAAGGCCUCGCGCGAUUGGAGCGGCCGCUGUCAGAUUAGGUAGUUGGUGGGGUAAAGGCUCACCAAGCCAACGAUCUGUAGCUGGUCUGAGAGGACGACCAGCCACACUGGGACUGAGACACGGCCCAGGCUCCUACGGGAGGCAGCAGUGGGGAAUUUUGGACAAUGGGCGCAAGCCUGAUCCAGCAAUGCCGCGUGCAGGAAGAAGGCCUUCGGGUUGUAAACUGCUUUUGUACGGAACGAAACGGUCCUGGUUAAUACCUGGGGCUAAUGACGGUACCGUAAGAAUAAGCACCGGCUAACUACGUGCCAGCAGCCGCCGUAAUAC